rnacentral:rRNA from 1 species
AACCUCAUUGUAGUUAUACCAUUCAGUUGAGGACUCUAAUGAGACUGCCAACGAUAAAGUUUGGAGGAAGUGGGGAUGACGUCAAAUCAUCAUGCCCUUUAUGACCUGGGCUACAAACGUACUACAAUGGCCGGUACAAAGAGAUGCGAAGUGGCGACAUGGAGCGAACCUCAGAAAGCCGGUCUCAGUUCAGAUUGAAGUCUGCAACUCGACUUCAUGAAGGCGGAAUCGCUAGUAAUCGCGGGUCAGCAGACCGCGGUGAAUACGUUCCCGGGUUUU